AUUGAACGCUGGCGGCAUGCCUUACACAUGCAAGUCGAACGGUAACAGGUCUUCGGAUGCUGACGAGUGGCAACGGGUGAGUAAUACAUCGGAACGUGCCCGAUCGUGGGGGAUAACGAGGCGAAAGCUUUGCUAAUACCGCAUACGAUCUACGGAUGAAAGCGGGGGAUCUUCGGACCUCGCGCGGACGGAGCGGCCGAUGGCAGAUUAGGUAGUUGGUGGGAUAAAAGCUUACCAAGCCGACGAUCUGUAGCUGGUCUGAGAGGAUGAUCAGCCACACUGGGACUGAGACACGGCCCAGACUCCUACGGGAGGCAGCAGUGGGGAAUUUUGGACAAUGGGCGAAAGCCUGAUCCAGCCAUGCCGCGUGCAGGAUGAAGGCCUUCGGGUUGUAAACUGCUUUUGUACGGAACGAAAAGCCUCUUUCUAAUAAAGAGGGGUCAUGACGGUACCGUAAGAAUAAGCACCGGCUAACUACGUG
rnacentral:rRNA from 1 species